GACGAACGCUGGCGGCGUGCUUAACACAUGCAAGUCGUACGGUAAGGCCCUUUCGGGGGUACACGAGUGGCGAACGGGUGAGUAACACGUGAGUAACCUGCCCACAACUUUGGGAUAACGCUAGGAAACUGGUGCUAAUACUGGAUAUGUGCUCCUGCUGCAUGGUGGGGGUUGGAAAGCUCCGGCGGUUGUGGAUGGACUCGCGGCCUAUCAGCUUGUUGGUGGGGUAGUGGCCUACCAAGGCGGCGACGGGUAGCCGGCCUGAGAGGGUGACCGGCCACAUUGGGACUGAGAUACGGCCCAGACUCCUACGGGAGACAGCAGUGGGGAAUAUUGCACAAUGGGCGCAAGCCUGAUGCAGCAACGCCGCGUGCGGGAUGACGGCCUUCGGGUUGUAAACCGCUUUCAGCAGGGACGAAGCUUUUUGUGACGGUACCUGCAGAAGAAGCACCGGCUAACUACGUG
rnacentral:rRNA from 1 species